GACGAACCGUCCAAACGUUAUUCGGAAUCACUGGGCUUAAAGGGCGCGUAGGCGGCCGAGCGGGUCGCGGGUGAAAUCCUCCAGCCUAACUGGAGAACUGCCCUCGAUACCACUGCGGCUCGAGGAAGGAAGGGGCAAUCGGAACUGUCGGUGGAGCGGUGAAAUGCGUUGAUAUCGACAGGAACGCCGGUGGCGAAAGCGGAUUGCUGGUCCUUUUCUGACGCUGAGGCGCGAAAGCCAGGGGAGCAAACGGG
rnacentral:rRNA from 1 species